ACAUGCAGUCGAACGAGAAAGUCCCCUUCGGGGGGCGAGUAAAGUGGCGCAAGGGUGAGUAACACGUGAAUAAUCUGCCCUCGAAUUCGGGAUAACCUGGCGAAAGUCGAGCUAAUACCGGAUAAGACCACGUCUCUCAAGAGAUGCGGCCAAAGGGGUCUCAAACCCCGUUUGAGGAUGAGUUCGCGGACCAUUAGCUAGUUGGUGAGAUAACAGCUCACCAAGGCAACGAUGGUUAGCCGGCCUGAGAGGGUGAUCGGCCACACUGGAACUGAGACACGGUCCAGACUCCUACGGGAGGCAGCAGUGGGGAAUAUUGCGCAAUGGGCGAAAGCCUGACGCAGCAACGCCGCGUGAGGGAUGAAGGUCUUCGGAUUGUAAACCUCUGUCGAAUGGGAAGAAAUCUUGACCAUUAGAGGAAGCCCCGGCUAACUCCGUGCCAGCAGCCGCGGUAAUACGGAGGGGGCAAGCGUUGUUCGGAAUUAUUGGGCGUAAAGCGUAUGUAGGCGGUCGGACAAGUCAGACGUGUAAGCCCGCGGCUCAACCGCGGAAUUGCGUUUGAAACUGUUCGACUUGAGUGCAGGAGAGGAAAGCGGAAUUCCCAGUGUAGCGGUGAAAUG
rnacentral:rRNA from 1 species